GACGAACGCUGGCGGCGUGCCUAAUACAUGCAAGUAGAACGCGGAAGGAGGAGCUUGCUUCUCUGGAUGAGUUGCGAACGGGUGAGUAACGCGUAGGUAACCUGCCUGGUAGCGGGGGAUAACUAUUGGAAACGAUAGCUAAUACCGCAUAAGAGUAGAUGUUGCAUGACAUUUGCUUAAAAGGUGCAAUUGCAUCACUACCAGAUGGACCUGCGUUGUAUUAGCUAGUUGGUGGGGUAACGGCUCACCAAGGCGACGAUACAUAGCCGACCUGAGAGGGUGAUCGGCCACACUGGGACUGAGACACGGCCCAGACUCCUACGGGAGGCAGCAGUAGGGAAUCUUCGGCAAUGGACGGAAGUCUGACCGAGCAACGCCGCGUGAGUGAAGAAGGUUUUCGGAUCGUAAAGCUCUGUUGUAAGAGAAGAACGAGUGUGAGAGUGGAAAGUUCACACUGUGACGGUAUCUUACCAGAAAGGGACGGCUAACUACGUG
rnacentral:rRNA from 1 species